UGUGUGAGUGAGCAAAGCGGACGUCUCUUAUAAAGUCCCCGCUGCCUGCACAUGGAUGUGCGAUCUCCAGCCUUCUCUUUGUGUGUAGUGAAUGCUUGUGAGUGAUAUAGUGCAGUGUCCCAGUACACCCAUAGUGAUGCGAUAUGUGUCUUUGUUUGUAUUUAAAUAAUGUUCAUUAUAUCUACCGAUCAUGAAUUGGCUCUCCGUAAGACCUCUUUAGUGCGAUUUUGUGUUAAGCCACAGUGGUGCUCCUCGGACGCCAUGUGUGUUGCGGCUCGGGUGCUCUAACACGUGUUCUGGAUUACGACAAAGUCCUCCUGCUCUCGCGAUAUUCGACCCGCCUUCCAUAGACAAGAUCUGCUCGUCCGGAAUAUUGAUCUUCGCCUGUCACUUUUAUGCGUGAUGGCGGGCGGCGGGCGGCGGCGCAGCGCGGCGGGCGGCGGUGAGGGCGGCGCGCGGCCAUGACGGG